rnacentral:rRNA from 1 species
GACGAACGCUGGCGGCGUGCCUAAUACAUGCAAGUAGAACGCACAGUUUAUACCGUAGCUUGCUACACCAUAAACUGUGAGUUGCGAACGGGUGAGUAACGCGUAGGUAACCUGCCUGGUAGCGGGGGAUAACUAUUGGAAACGAUAGCUAAUACCGCAUAAUAUUGAUUAUUACAUGAUAAUUGAUUGAAAGAUGCUAUUGCAUCACUACCAGAUGGACCUGCGUUGUAUUAGCUAGUAGGUGAGGUAACGGCUCACCUAGGCGACGAUACAUAGCCGACCUGAGAGGGUGAUCGGCCACACUGGGACUGAGACACGGCCCAGACUCCUACGGGAGGCAGCAGUAGGGAAUCUUCGGCAAUGGACGAAAGUCUGACCGAGCAACGCCGCGUGAGUGAAGAAGGUUUUCGGAUCGUAAAGCUCUGUUGUAAGAGAAGAACGGGUGUGAGAGUGGAAAGUUCACACUGUGACGGUAUCUUACCAGAAAGGGACGGCUAACUACGUG